CAGGAAGUAGGCCAUAACUUUCAAUUUCUUCUCUUCAUUUUUUCUUUCCAAAAUUAGCUGCUAACUUGAGUUUUGGAGUACUCAUUGCCGCCUAGCGUGGCAUUAUGCCCUUCUUGGCUUGACCCUAGCUAUGUUGGACUUCAGUAGAGCUUCUUUCCCAUAGAGCCAUGUCCCUUGAAUUCCCAGGCCCAGCCCUCAACUGCAUGGGCCGGAGAGCAUUGGUACCAGACCAUUUCUCUUGCGAGUCGAUUAGCUUCUUUUUUAUAGUUUUUUAUUAUCAAACCAAGGCACCAAUCAGUUUUUGGUGUAGGCGGAGAUUGAAUCACAAAUCUCUUAUUCAACCAUCAGAGACUCUACCAGUUUAAGUACUUCAUGUUUGGCAGAAGGGUGGGACUGGCUGCUGCUGUGCGUCUCCCAAUAUAUGCUGUAGAAUCUAUCAAUGUCUAACCGACAGAAAUUCUUGCAGUGAAGGCUGAUUCCUUCGAGUAUCUUAACCAUGUUAAUGGAAUUUCCAAGUUUCAACAGCUCUAGGUUUUUCCACUUACGUAUGAGUUUUGGCAAAGCAAAUGAAGAAUUGUCCCAUAUUGCAGGUGGAAAAUACAGAGCCUUCAACGCAGGGCACCUGGAAACAAUGAAAUGCAUCAAUGACAAAACUAGAAAUGGCACUCUUCAAUAUGUAUUAGCAAGAUCUGCUAAAAGUCUAUACUAUGACCUCAAUAGACAAGAUAUGUAACGCAAUAAAAGCAGCAUCUGCUGAGGUGAAUGUGGAACACAUUGACAAUAUUACGAACACACUCAAUUUCGCUACAUGCUAAACUAGUUAAUUGUGAGUGGUGGGUCUAUUAAUCCAUGUAAAUAGUAGCAAACAGAAAGUGUCGAUUACUCAUAGUCGAAUACUUCAACAUGUUGUGAAAUUGGGUAUCCCUAUAUUUAUUGGAAAUGUCGAUGCCUUACAAACUCAAAAAGGCUAUAAUUUUUAGUGAUA